rnacentral:rRNA from 1 species
GACGAACGCUGGCGGCGUGCUUAACACAUGCAAGUCGAACGGUAAGGCCUCUUCGGGGGUACACGAGUGGCGAACGGGUGAGUAACACGUGCGUAACCUGCCCUUGACUUUGGGAUAACAUCUGGAAACAGGUGCUAAUACCGGAUAUGAGCCUUUUCUGCACGGGGGGGGUUGGAAAGCUCCGGCGGUCAUGGAUGGACUCGCGGCCUAUCGGCUGGUUGGUGAGGUAGUGGCUCACCAAGGCUCCGACGGGUCGCCGGCCUGAGAGGGCGACCGGCCACAUUGGGACUGAGAUACGGCCCAAACUCCUACGGGAGGCAGCAGUGGGGAAUAUUGCACAAUGGGCGGAAGCCUGAUGCAGCAACGCCGCGUGCGGGAUGAAGGCCUUCGGGUUGUAAACCGCUUUCAGCAGGGACGAAGCUAACGUGACGGUACCUGCAGAAGAAGCACCGGCUAACUACGUGCCAGCCGCCGCGGUAAGAC